rnacentral:rRNA from 1 species
UACGUAGGCAGCAAGCGUUGUUCGGAAUUACUGGGCGUAAAGGGUGUGUAGGCGGUGUUCUAAGUUUGUCGUGAAAUCUCCCGGCUUAACUGGGAGGGUGCGGCGAAAACUGGAAUGCUAGAGGAUGGGAGAGGUAAGCGGAAUUCCUGGUGUAGCGGUGAAAUGCGUAGAUAUCAGGAGGAACACCUGUGGUGUAGACAGCUUACUGGACCAUUUCUGACGCUGAGACACGAAAGCGUGGGUAGCAAACAGG